rnacentral:rRNA from 1 species
UACGUAGGGGGCAAGCGUUGUCCGGAUUUAUUGGGCGUAAAGAGCGUGUAGGCGGCCAGGUAGGUCCGUUGUGAAAACUGAAGGCUUAACCUUCAGACGUCGAUGGAAACCAUCUGGCUAGAGUCCGGAAGAGGAGAGUGGAAUUCCUGGUGUAGCGGUGAAAUGCGCAGAUAUCAGGAAGAACACCCGUGGCGAAGGCGGCUCUCUGGGACGGUACUGACGCUGAGACGCGAAAGCGUGGGGAGCGAACAGG